rnacentral:rRNA from 1 species
GACGAACGCUGGCGGCGUGCCUAAUACAUGCAAGUCGAGCGGACUGAAGGGAGCUUGCUCCCGGAAGUUAGCGGCGGACGGGUGAGUAACACGUGGGCAACCUACCCUGUAGAUCGGGAUAACAUCGAGAAAUCGGUGCUAAUACCGGAUAAUCAUUUGAAGUGCAUGCUUCGAAUGUAAAAGAUGGCUCCGGCUAUCACUACGGGAUGGGCCCGCGGCGCAUUAGCUAGUUGGUAAGGUAAUGGCUUACCAAGGCAACGAUGCGUAGCCGACCUGAGAGGGGGAGCGGCCACACUGGGACUGAGACACGGCCCAGACUCCUACGGGAGGCAGCAGUAGGGAAUCUGCCGCAAUGGACGAAAGUCUGACGGAGCAACGCCGCGUGAGUGAUGAAGGUUUUCGGAUCGUAAAGCUCUGUUGUUAGGGAAGAACAAGUGCCGUUUGAAUAAGGCGGCACCUUGACGGUACCUAACCAGAAAGCCACGGCUAACUACGUGCCAGCAGCCGCCGUAACAC